UAGGGAAUCUUCGGCAAUGGACGAAAGUCUGACCGAGCAACGCCGCGUGAGUGAAGAAGGUUUUCGGAUCGUAAAACUCUGUUGGUAGAGAAGAACGUUAGUGAGAAUGGAAAGCUCAUCAAGUGACGGUAACUACCCAGAAAGGGACGGCUAACUACGUGCC
rnacentral:rRNA from 1 species